rnacentral:rRNA from 1 species
GAUGAACGCUGGCGGCGUGCCUAAUACAUGCAAGUCGAGCGAACAGACGAUGAGCUUGCUCCUCUGACGUUAGCGGCGGACGGGUGAGUAACACGUGGAUAACCUACCUAUAAGACUGGGAUAACUUCGGGAAACCGGAGCUAAUACCGGAUAAUAUAUUGAACCGCAUGGUUCAAUGGUGAAAGACGGCUUUGCUGUCACUUAUAGAUGGAUCCGCGCCGCAUUAGCUAGUUGGUAAGGUAACGGCUUACCAAGGCAACGAUGCGUAGCCGACCUGAGAGGGUGAUCGGCCACACUAGAGCUGGAACGCGGUCCAGGCUACUGCGGGAGGCAGCAGUAGGGAAUCUUCCGCAGUGGGCGGAAGCCUGGCGGAGCGGCGCCGCGUGAGUGAUAAAGGUCUUCGGAUCGUAAAACUCUGUUAUUAGGGAAGAACAAAUGUGUAAGUAACUAUGCACGUCUUGACGGUACCUAAUCAGAAAGCCACGGCUAACUACGUG